rnacentral:lncRNA from 1 species
UUAGAUCCUCCCAUUCUAACCUUCUGUAAUAUUGAUGUUAUGAUCCCAGACCUAUGUUUUAUGAUUCUUCAAGCAAAAGUGACUCUACUGUAAAGGAUUAGAGCAAAGCUGGAGGAUGGUAUGGAUGGAGAGAUGCCCAGACAUCUGAACUCUUGUUAGCUGACCAACAAAUUUGUUGAAAUGCAGCCAAGUCAGUCUAAUCAUGCAAUGGUGAACCUUGUGGAGUUGCUGAUGCUGGAGGUGAAACCAGAAUAUGAGCCUACUCUAAACUGAUUUGCAGCACAGUAAGAAUGGAAGAAUAAGAGAGGAGGAAACUGAGGCCCAGAGAAUUCUCCCAUAAGGAGAAAGAGCAUACCUUUUCAUCAGGGAAACUGCCCAUGACAAAGCCUAGUGGUUCUGAAAUGCCAAACUCUGUUCUGAAGGGCUA